GCGACUCCUGCGCAAGCGCAGAGUGAAGGGCCGGGAACAGUGGAGGGUGCGAGGAAGACAAUGGGGGAGGACCCUGAGGCGGCCUCUGUGAGCCGACAGGAACACGUGGUCGAUCAGAGAGAGACUCGAGGUUCGUGAACGGAUGGGGAGGACCCUGAAAAGCACUGUGGAAUACAGGUUUCUAGUAACUUCAAAAUCACAUCAUUUGGACUGGCUUCUUUGGGAUGUCCGCUCUGCAUAUCUACUAAGGAAUUAAGAAAUAAUGGCUUCAGCAAGAAACAAGGCAGGAAAGUGCAGUGACAUGAGGACCAUACAGGGAAGGAGCUGUCCCCAAAGCACGAUGAGCCACUUGAGGCCAGGUACAGCCAUGGCGUGUAUCCCAGAGCACCUGUGAGAAUGUCUCACAGACAGUCCGUCUCUCCUGAAUAUGAAGGGAUGGGCACCAGCCGGAGCCACCAUCCGUGUGACUGGCCCGUGGCCGCCUCCAGCUCACACAGAACCUCUGCACGCAACGGAAAAAGGUCUCCCCUGGGUGAAUGGGGUGGGAAACGUGUGCCCCUCCAGGCGGCUGGUGAGCAGAGUGCUCCCCUCGGCAGGGUGUGACUUGUACAGCUCCACCACGGGCCCUGUAACAAGACAGGCUUCGACCCUGCCCUCUUGCAGCUCGUAUGUAUGAGGGGCAGCCCAAUAAAUAAAUAAGCAAA
rnacentral:lncRNA from 1 species